UCGGGAAUUUUCCACAAUGGGCGAAAGCCUGAUGGAGCAACGCCGCGUGCAGGAUGAAUGCCUUCGGGUUGUAAACUGCUUUUAUAUGUGACGAUUAUGACGGUAGCAUAUGAAUAAGGAUCGGCUAACUCCGUGCCAGCAGCCGCGGUCAUACGGAGGAUCCAAGCGUUAUCCGGAAUUACUGGGCGUAAAGAGUAGCGUAGGUGGCAUGGUAAGCAAAUAGUGAAAGCGUUCCGCUCAACGGAAUAUACAUUAUUUGAACUGCCAAGCUAGAGGACGAGGGAGGUAGAUGGAAUUCCUAGUGUAGGGGUAAAAUCCGUUGAUAUUAGGAGGAACACCGAUGGCGUAGGCAGUCUACUGGCUCGUUCCUGACACUCAGGCACGAAAGCGUGGGGAGCAAACAGGAUUAGAUACCCCUGUAGUCC
rnacentral:rRNA from 1 species